UACAGAGGCCCCUAGCGUUGAUCGGAUUUACUGGGCGUAAAGGGCGCGUAGGCGGCCAGGCAAGUCAAGUGUGAAAUCUCCGGUCUCAACCCGGAACGUGCGCUUGAGACUGCCGGGCUCGAGUGCGGAAGGGGGAAUCGGAAUAUAGGGUGUAGCGGUGAAAUGCGUUGAUAUCCUAUAGAACACCGGAGGCGAAGGCGGAUUCCUUGUACGCAACUGACGCUGAGGCGCGAAAGUCGGGGGAGCAAAC
rnacentral:rRNA from 1 species